rnacentral:rRNA from 1 species
UACGUAGGGGGCAAGCGUUGUCCAGAUUUACUGGGCGUAAAGCGCGUGUAGGCGGUCCGGUAAGUCCGCUGUGAAAGUCGGGGGCUUAACCCUCGGAUGCCGGUGGAUACUGUCGGGCUUGAGUACGGAAGAGGCGAGUGGAAUUCCUGGUGUAGCGGUGGAAUGCGCAGAUAUCAGGAGGAACACCAAUUGCGAAGGCAGCUCGCUGGGACGUUACUGACGCUGAGACGCGAAAGCGUGGGGAGCAAACAGG